CUAAGCACGAAACUUGCCCCGAGAUGAGUUCUCCCUGACCCUUUAAGGGUCCUGAAGGAACGUUGAAGACGACGACGUUGAUAGGCCGGGUGUGUAAGCGCAGCGAUGCGUUGAGCUAACCGGUACUAAUGAACCGUGAGGCUUAACCUUACAACGCCGAAG
rnacentral:rRNA from 1 species